UACAGAGGUGGCAAGCGUUGUUCGGAAUUACUGGGCGUAAAGGGCGAGUAGGCGGCCUUCUAAGUCAGACGUGAAAUCCCCCGGCUUAACCUGGGAACUACGUCUGAUACUGGGAGGCUUGAGUAUGGGAGAGGGAUGUAGAAUUCCAGGUGUAGCGGUGAAAUGCGUAGAUAUCUGGAGGAACACCGGUGGCGAAGGCGGCAUCCUGGACCGGCACUGACGCUGAGGAGCGAAAGCCAGGGGAGCAAAGCGGG
rnacentral:rRNA from 1 species